GGCGUAGCCGGCUGCUUACACAUGCAAGUCGCACGGUUCGGGGGCAACCUCGGGCAGUGGCGGACGGGUGAGUAACGCGUAGGAAUCUGUCUUUGGAUGGGGGACAACCGUGGGAAACUACGGCUAAUACCGCAUGAUGCCUGAGGGCCAAAGCUCGCGAGAGCGUCUGAAGAGGAGCCUGCGUCUGAUUAGGUAGUUGGUGGGGUAAAGGCCUACCAAGCCUGCGAUCAGUAGCUGGUCUGAGAGGAUGAUCAGCCACAUUGGGACUGAGACACGGCCCAAACUCCUACGGGAGGCAGCAGUGGGGAAUAUUGGACAAUGGGCGCAAGCCUGAUCCAGCAAUGCCGCGUGGGUGAAGAAGGUUUUCGGAUUGUAAAGCCCUUUUGGCGGGGACGAUGAUGACGGUACCCGCAGAAUAAGCUCCGGCUAACUUCGUGCCAGCAGCCGCGGUAAUACGAAGGGGGCUAGCGUUGCUCGGAAUGACUGGGCGUAAAGGGCGCGUAGGCGGCUUGUACAGUCAGGCGUGAAAUUCCUGGGCUCAACCUGGGGACUGCGUCUGAUACGUGCUGGCUUGAGUAUGGAAGAGGGUCGUGGAAUUUCCAGUGUAGAGGUGAAAUUCGUAGAUAUUGGAAAGAACACCGGUGGCGAAGGCGGCGACCUGGUCCAUUACUGACGCUGAGGCGCGAAAGCGUGGGGAGCAAACAGGAUUAGAUACCCUGGUAGUCCACGCUGUAAACGAUGUGUGCUGGAUGUUGGGGUGCUUAGCACUUCAGUGUCGUAGCUAACGCGGUAAGCACACCGCCUGGGGAGUA
rnacentral:rRNA from 1 species